ensembl:lncRNA
UUAAGCUUAAGGAAUUUAUUGAGAGGAUACUGGGAAAUCACAGGCUCAAAGGAAAACGUGAAAAAUCAGGACAUGGGAAGGACAGAACCAGGCCAGCUCUGGGGCUCUGGGUAGCAGGACAUUUUGAAUUGUCUUUUGAAGAAACCCUCAUGAGAGCCUCUGCUUUAACAACCUACAGCCCCCCAGGUAUCUCCACUCAAGAUGCAAAUUUCCAGGAGAGGAUCUGAUUAGUGAGCUGGGUCCAAAGCCUACCUCCUAACCAGGGUGGGGUUCUGUGAUUGACAGCUCACCCUAAUCACCCCAAGUCCGGAAGGGCCAUUUCCCCGGAUGAAGGGCUGCUGAGCAGACAAAUACAAACACAAACAGCAAACAAACACCAAAAAACCAAACCAGAUGUCCGCUACAAAGGUUUUCUUUAACAGCAACCUCCAACCUCCACUAAUAUAUUUGAAACAUGAUUCAAUUUUCCAAAGUUCAGUUUAUACACGACUCUUUGUGUAACUAAUCAAAUUUCUCUUUUCAUAGCAGCUGCUGGAAAGCUUAGGGCCCAACUGUGUUUUCCCCAUAGCAACCAUGUUGGAUUUUGACGGUGUCCAUCUUGUCUUUGCCCCUCUCCUGGUUCUAUUGUGUAUUUUUGAUGUUCCUUUUUCUUUCUCUCUAAUUUGUCAUCUUGGUGAUGCUGUGGCUUUUGUUUUUUGUUUUUCUUCCUUCCCUGGAAUGAGGCAGACUAUAAGUGAGCAGAUCAUCUGUGACUCUUUAGGAAUGUGUUAUGGUGUAAAGCAGAGUUCAUCAGCACUGCGAGUUUUACCAUUGGAAGGGCUCAUAGUCUGGAAGCCAACAGUUAGAAAGACAUCGUGGCACGGUAUCCCUGGAGUUCUCCACUUUUAAAGCUUUCCCAGAGUCAUGAGAUGCAAACAAGUUGUCUCAAACUUUUACUGCAUAGCACUCCUGUGUAUAGGGGAAUGCGACCUGACCUUUGGUGAAACAGGCCAGUUUCAUGUGAGAAGGAGAGCAAGAACAAAGAGAAGUUGGCUGAAGCAGCUCGGGGCAGGGCCCUGCUCCAGGGUUAUUUUCCAUGUGACCUCAGCUGAGCUCUCUCUCUCUCUCUGGAGAGACUGCCUGGCCUGGGAGCACCAAGGAAAAUUUGGCAGUGCCUGAGGGAGUUAAAGAGCAGCCAGCAGCAGCAGGUGCCAGGAAUGGGCCGGAAAACUCUGGUGAACUUGCCAGAGUCACAUAGCAGCUUCAGUUUGGGUUUGGAGAGGCAAGGCUGGGGUUGGAGAGAAAGAUGGGAGGUCCGCUUGCUACCCUCAAAAGAACCCCAGCUCCAUCCUCCAAGCUCCGUGAUAAGCUGGCUUUUCCUGCCUGAGCUCAGAGGCUAGGGGAGCUAGAGGGUGGUGUUCUCAUCAAGGAUCUCCUGCUUGCGAAGAUCAGAAGCCCACUCAGGAGCUCAAACAGAAGACAAUUGUUUGUAAGGCUAUAACAGGCAGUCCCGCAGAUAUUCAGUGAGGGAUCACAAGCCUCUUCGGGGCUGGGACAGAAGAUUCAGCAACUGUGUCAAUCCUCUCCAGCCCUCAGGGGCCCUCAGAGAGCUCUCUUACUUUGGCUUCUCUCUGCUCACUCUUCUUGCAUGUGGCCCAACAAGAUGGCAGCCUCAACUGUACAAGCAGCCCCAACCAGCUCUCUGAGAACACACAGUUCACUGUCUCUGUGUCCUUGUUCAAACUCCCUGAUGGGGCCAGCUCGUCUAUUCGUACUGAGCAUGUGGAUUGACUACGCCUUCCCCUUGUCCAGCCAGCCAUGGCCAGGAGGAACAGGUCUUCUGGAAGGGCUCAGUAAAUGUUAACUUCCCUGGAGGGUGUCGAUGCUGGCUUUUCCUCUAGUCGAAGAGCCACUGAGAGGAUCCUCAAGACCCUUAGGGCCCAGAAGGGCUCUUGUCAGGAGAGCUGUGGAAGGAAUUCCUGCACCCCAGGGCCACUGAGCCCAAUGACUCUGAGGACAGUGAGGUGUGUUCUGGUUGCUGCAGGACAGCAACGCCUGUGACUUCCGAUGAAAUACUCACUUUUUGCAAGUUGACACCUAUAUCCUUUCGCUUAGAGAACUCCUCAGAGUGUCACUCUCUUGCGAUAAAGCUAUCCAAGUUCAAGCUAUCCAAGUUCAAGGAGCCGUUUGAGGUUAUUCAAAACUGACCUCACCAUCAAAGUCCUACUUCGAGAUGCAAAAAGUUAUCUACCAGCCAGUUUUACACCCCCUUGGGCACAACAGGCUUGAGGUCACCCUCCCUGCUUUUGCUCAGGCUGUUCCCCUGGAAUGCCCUGACAGGUGACCCUCCCCAGUCACUACCUGACUGAAUUCUCCCCUUCCCUAAAGCCUUACCCCAAACCCACCUCCAGGAAGGCCUCCCUGGCUCCACUGAGUCAGCGCCUACCCUCUCCUCCCCUUCUCCCGCCUCCUCAGCGAUGUCUUGGUACACACCACAUCUGACCACCUCCAAGUUGCUUGUGCCUGUGUUCUUCUCUCUAGCCUGGCUGUUGCAUGAGGACAUCCCUAUGUCCCCAUUAGAGCUUGGCUAGGGCCUGGCUCAGAGUAGAUGGGGCUGACGUGUGGGCUGCCACCAGAGAGCUCAAUUCUGGUCACACAGAAGCACUUUUGACCUUUCCAACAGCCCCUGGAACUGACCAGGCUCCAGUGGCCCCUAGGUCACCCUGACCCUUCCAGACCUCUCUGCCAGCCAUGGAAUCUCCGCCUCCCUAAAGACCUUAGCCCCAUUCUCACUCCUUCAUCUCACAAUGGCCACUUCUGUUACGGAGGGACCAUUGCCCUCCAUGGUGCACUUUCAGAACAGACAGAGCCUUCACACGGACACCCUUAGGGGUUACAGCAUUCCUGCAGGACAGACUGUCCUACCCACUGCAGCUCUGCAGGAGACGGGCCCCCAACCCUGGGGUCCUAGCGUGCCCUCUCCCCAACACACGCUUCUCUCCUCUCCCCUGAAAAAUAAGGGCCAGUGGUUUCAGCUCCCAGGUUUGCCAUCUUUCUAAUCCGAGGAAACCAAACUACUUUUUGUCUCCCUGCGAGGCCAGGCCAGUGGUCAGGAUGGACGGGAGGCAGAGCAGAGAGAGGGAGGUCUGCCAGUAAGUGGAGAGCUGAGGCCCUGGACUGCUCUCCCACAGGAAACCACUGACUGGAAACUCUGAGGUGCUCACAGGCAGCUCCCAGCAGCAGGGCUCAGCGCAUUAUCGUGUGAAUCCCAAAGCACCUCAAAGCUGGCUGGCAAGACCUUCCAGGGGGAGGGACGGGCUUGAGCAGAGGCACCGAGGGGCCUGGGCAACCUAGUGUGGCAAGGCCUGUGGUGCCCACGGAGGAAUAAAACUGGUUGGGGGAUAACAUUCAGCAUCUUGACACACUUGAUGUUGGAUAUCGGAACUUGAGUUUCCAAUAACCCAAAACGGUUCCUUGAGCUUGAACAGCUUCUAUCUUGACACUCUCGGGAAAGCAGUUCCUGUUGGGGAGGGCAUUAUCCUGGAGGGCGGUGGUGGGGUCUUUGUGCUCCAUCCUGUGCUGUCUCACUACUGAAGGUGGAACCUGCCUGCUCACCUCUCAGAACGUGCUGAGCAUCAGAGGGGCGGCAUCGUGUGACACGGUUGGUAUAUCCACUUUGCAGAUGGCUCGUCAUUAGCACGUGGGUUACAGUCACACCCAGUCAUGAGAAGCCUCCUGAUUUUGCACAAAGUAGGUGUAGACUCUUUCGUCCAGGAAUUUAAGAGAUUAUGUAAUUUUUCUUGGUUUUGUCUGCAAGGCUUUUUUUUCCUCUGUGACUCAGUAUUUGGAUGGCUCUCCCUGAGGGAAGCCAUGAGGGUGAGAUGUAAGAAUCCAGGGCUGGUGCUGGGCUCAGGAUAGGGGAGCUGCCCCCAACACCCAUGGGAGCCAGAGGCCUGCACCCAGGACUCGCCCGCAUGUCCCUCAGGGGCAAACUGCAGCACAUGCCCUCUUUCCCUCGGGGAGACUUGGAAGAAGAAAGGUCUGGCUCCCCAACAUCAGGCCCAGAGCUCCCUCCUCUGUGAAGCCUGCAUAGCCAGGAGCGGGGAGAAAGGAGAGGGAAUGCUCUGGCAAUCUGCUGUCUUGUCCCUUCCCCUCAAGGAGCUGUUGUGGUGAGCAGCUGUCCUCUCAGCCUUCUCCUGGGAAACUCUCCAUCUCGUCCGUGAGCCCGAGGCUGGGUGGGCUUGGGGUCAACCUCUGCAUCUGCGUGUUUUCUUCUCUUAGCAGUUGAUUCCUUCUCUCCCUCUUGGCUUAUUUUUUCCUUCUGUUGCUUCAGGCUUCUUCUAGGUCAGCAGCUGUCUGUCCUCUUUCACCCAUUCCUCAUGCCAACUCAAACCAGCCUCUCGCCCCUUUGCACUUCUUGUCACAUCUUCAUGUGAUUUUACCAGCAAAUCUCUCUCCUUUCUUCUCUCUGACCUGGGCCUUCCCCUCCCCCUCGUCGC